GAGGCAAGAUACGACGGCAGGCGGUGUCCAGGAGCCGAGUGAGUUGCACUAGUGGUGCUCAUGAGGUGAAACAUGCAAGACAUGUGUUGUCUUGAAGUUGGAUGUGUGGUGCGAGAGAUGCCCACGAAGUGAGGAAGGUGUGCGAGCUGCUAAGGAAUGACUCAAGGAAGAAGUGUGAAUGCCAACUUAGUCUCGGUACACGGUCAUGCUACUUACUAUCGACGUGCGGGAUGC
rnacentral:lncRNA from 1 species